rnacentral:rRNA from 1 species
UCCGGAAACGGGUGCUAAUACCGGCAUAGUUUUCUUGAUCGCAUGAUCGGGAAAGGAAAGACGGCCUUUGUGCUGUCGCUUAUGGAUGGACCCGCGGCGUAUUAGUUAGUUGGGUGAGGUAACGGCUCACCAAGACGAUGAUACGUAGCCGACCUGAGAGGGUGAUCGGCCACAUUGGGACUGAGACACGGCCCAAACUCCUACGGGAGGCAGCAGUAGGGAAUCUUCCGCAAUGGACGAAAGUCUGACGGGAGCAACGCCGCGUGAGUGAAAGAAGGUUUUCGGAUCGUAAAACUCUGUUGUCAGAGAAGAACAAGUUGGAGAGUAACUGCUCCAGCCUUGACGGUAUCUGUACCAGAAAGCCACGGCUAACUACGUGCCAGCCGCGGC